AGCUGCUUUUGCCCCAGCUAAAGCACCUCUGCAGCAACCCUUCUGUCCCCUCCACCCCAAUGAAUUUUUAAACCAGCACCAGAAAAGCUGACACUACUAACCCAGAGCAGGCAGAGAAAGAGAAUUACCUUCAAACGCCUUCUGGGCUCUAUCUGCAUCAUCUUGGUUUUUAUCUGGGUGAACCAAUAUUGACAGCUGCAAGAAAAAGAAUCCUGCCAUCAAGAUCAUGGUCUGUCAGCAGAGGCAGGCUGGGGUGAUGUUUCCUGUGUUGCAGACCUGCCAGGAAGCAGGGCUGCUUCUUUCCCAGGUAACCAAGCCCUAAAAAUGACCAUGGAAAUUCUUAAACCUCAGAGAAAAUCUGGAUCCAAGUCCAUAUAUUUGAGAAAAAUACCUUUUGAUGUUCCUUUUGAACUGAAGCUCAAGAGGCUGAUCACACACGGCUAUAUUAGCUGGCAAUAGCCCCAUCACACACAGGACAGGCAAAGCAGCCUAUCCUGCUUGGAGCAGGGACACUGCUGCAGCUCUCCUCUUGUUGACACAAGCAUUGUUCUAU